rnacentral:rRNA from 1 species
CGCGCUCGGCUAGCAAUGUGYCUCGACGGUUCAACCGGUUUGGAGGGGGAGGUCGUURCUGUCGGAUCCGAAUGGACCGCGGUGGCGGCCGUCCUCAGCCGAACUGCGGUGCACUCUGUCGGGGCACGCGUCAGCGUCGGUUCGCAGUUCAGGCGAUAAGGCACGGAGGGAAGGUAGCUCGGAGCUUGCUCUGAGCAUUAUAGCCGCCUGUGCUGGGUCUGGUGCGGACCGAGGAGAGAGAGGAUCGCUGCAGCGCAUGCCGCAAGGCUAGCUGCCCGCUGCUCGGCUUGCUUCACGGGCUGAGGACUGCACGCAGUGUUCGGCUUGGCGAGGUGGCCAGGUAGUGGAGYGGUAUAAAUGCGCUUAGGACGCUGGCGUCCAAA